ACACAUGCAAGUCGAGCGGUAGCACAGAGAGCUUGCUCUCGGGUGACGAGCGGCGGACGGGUGAGUAAUGUCUGGGAAACUGCCUGAUGGAGGGGGAUAACUACUGGAAACGGUAGCUAAUACCGCAUAAUGUCGCAAGACCAAAGUGGGGGACCUUCGGGCCUCAUGCCAUCAGAUGUGCCCAGAUGGGAUUAGCUAGUAGGUGGGGUAACGGCUCACCUAGGCGACGAUCCCUAGCUGGUCUGAGAGGAUGACCAGCCACACUGGAACUGAGACACGGUCCAGACUCCUACGGGAGGCAGCAGUGGGGAAUAUUGCACAAUGGGCGCAAGCCUGAUGCAGCCAUGCCGCGUGUGUGAAGAAGGCCUUCGGGUUGUAAAGCACUUUCAGCGGGGAGGAAGGCGUUAAGGUUAAUAACCUUGGCGAUUGACGUUACCCGCAGAAGAAGCACCGGCUAACUCCGUGCCAGCAGCCGCGGUAAUACGGAGGGUGCAAGCGUUAAUCGGAAUUACUGGGCGUAAAGCGCACGCAGGCGGUCUGUCAAGUCGGAUGUGAAAUCCCCGGGCUCAACCUGGGAACUGCAUUCGAAACUGGCAGGCUAGAGUCUUGUAGAGGGGGGUAGAAUUCCAGGUGUAGCGGUGAAAUGCGUAGAGAUCUGGAGGAAUACCGGUGGCGAAGGCGGCCCCCUGGACAAAGACUGACGCUCAGGUGCGAAAGCGUGGGGAGCAAACAGGAUUAGAUACCCUGGUAGUCCACGCCGUAAACGAUGUCGAUUUGGAGGUUGUGCCCUUGAGGCGUGGCUUCCGGAGCUAACGCGUUAAAUCGACCGCCUGGGGAGUACGGCCGCAAGGUUAAAACUCAAAUGAAUUGACGGGGGCCCGCACAAGCGGUGGAGCAUGUGGUUUAAUUCGAUGCAACGCGAAGAACCUUACCUGGUCUUGACAUCCACAGAACUUUCCAGAGAUGGAUUGGUGCCUUCGGGAACUGUGAGACAGGUGCUGCAUGGCUGUCGUCAGCUCGUGUUGUGAAAUGUUGGGUUAAGUCCCGCAACGAGCGCAACCCUUAUCCUUUGUUGCCAGCGGUUAGGCCGGGAACUCAAAGGAGACUGCCAGUGAUAAACUGGAGGAAGGUGGGGAUGACGUCAAGUCAUCAUGGCCCUUACGACCAGGGCUACACACGUGCUACAAUGGCAUAUACAAAGAGAAGCGACCUCGCGAGAGCAAGCGGACCUCAUAAAGUAUGUCGUAGUCCGGAUUGGAGUCUGCAACUCGACUCCAUGAAGUCGGAAUCGCUAGUAAUCGUAGAUCAGAAUGCUACGGUGAAUACGUUCCCGGGCCUUGUACACACCGCCCGUCACACCAUGGGAGUGGGUUGCAAAAGAAGUAGGUAGCUUAACCUUCGGGAGGGCGCUACC
rnacentral:rRNA from 1 species